UACGUAUGGAGCGAGCGUUGUCCGGAAUCAUUGGGCGUAAAGAGCACGUAGGUGGAUUAAUCAGUCUGUCGUGAAAGUCAACGGCUCAACCGUUGAAGGCCGGUGGAUACUGUUGAUCUAGAGUACGGAAGAGGCGAGUGGAAUUCCUGGUGUAGCGGUGGAAUGCGCAGAUAUCAGGAGGAACACCAAUAGCGAAGGCAGCUCGCUGGGACGUUACUGACACUGAGGUGCGAAAGCGUGGGGAGCAAACAGGA
rnacentral:rRNA from 1 species